UGCAGUCGAGCGGUAAGGCCUUUCGGGGUACACGAGCGGCGAACGGGUGAGUAACACGUGGGUGAUCUGCCCUGCACUUCGGGAUAAGCCUGGGAAACUGGGUCUAAUACCGGAUAUGACCUCCUAUCGCAUGGUGGGUGGUGGAAAGAUUUAUCGGUGCAGGAUGGGCCCGCGGCCUAUCAGCUUGUUGGUGGGGUAAUGGCCUACCAAGGCGACGACGGGUAGCCGACCUGAGAGGGUGACCGGCCACACUGGGACUGAGACACGGCCCAGACUCCUACGGGAGGCAGCAGUGGGGAAUAUUGCACAAUGGGCGAAAGCCUGAUGCAGCGACGCCGCGUGAGGGAUGACGGCCUUCGGGUUGUAAACCUCUUUCAGCAGGGACGAAGCGCAAGUGACGGUACCUGCAGAAGAAGCACCGGCUAACUACGUGCCAGCAGCCGCGGUAAUACGUAGGGUGCAAGCGUUGUCCGGAAUUACUGGGCGUAAAGAGUUCGUAGGCGGUUUGUCGCGUCGUUUGUGAAAACCAGCAGCUCAACUGCUGGCUUGCAGGCGAUACGGGCAGACUUGAGUACUGCAGGGGAGACUGGAAUUCCUGGUGUAGCGGUGAAAUGCGCAGAUAUCAGGAGGAACACCGGUGGCGAAGGCGGGUCUCUGGGCAGUAACUGACGCUGAGGAACGAAAGCGUGGGUAGCGAACAGGAUUAGAUACCCUGGUAGUCCACGCCGUAAACGGUGGGCGCUAGGUGUGGGUUCCUUCCACGGAAUCCGUGCCGUAGCUAACGCAUUAAGCGCCCCGCCUGGGGAGUACGGCCGCAAGGCUAAAACUCA
rnacentral:rRNA from 1 species